UCUUCUGUGGCGCAAUUGGCUAGCGCGUUCGACUGUUAUAACUUCAGUAGUGGCAAUCGAGAGGUUGGAGGUUCGAGCCCUCCCAGAAGAG
rnacentral:tRNA from 1 species